ensembl:snRNA Gm25425 predicted gene, 25425
UUGCUUUGGAAGCAUAUAUACUAAGAUUUGAAUGAUACAGAAAAGAUUAGUAUUGACUCUGUAAGGAUGACACAUAAAUUCGUCUUCUUUUUAGAACAGUAAUUAAAAAAUUACUUUUUU